rnacentral:rRNA from 1 species
GUAACCGGCCUACCAAGGCGAUGACGGGUAGCCGGUCUGAGAGGACGAUCGGUCACACUGGGACUGAGACACUGCCCAGACUCCUACGGGAGGCUGCAGUCGAGAAUCUUCCGCAAUGGGCGAAAGCCUGACGGAGCGACACCGCGUGCAGGAUGAAGGCCUUCGGGUUGUAACUGCUGUCACGCCAUAGGAAAGCUCUGUAGUUAAUAGCUGCAGGGUUGACCAAAGCGAGAGGAAGCACCGGCUAACUCCGUGCCAGCAGCCGCGGUAAGACGGAGGGUGCAAACGUUGUUCGGAAUUACUGGGCAUAAAGCGCACGUAGGCGGCUUAGUCAGUCAGGUGUGAAAGCCCCCGGCUCAACCGGGGAAUUGCAUUUGAUACUGCUAGGCUUGAGGAUGGUUGGGGUGAGUGGAACUCCUGGUGGAGCGGUGAAAUGCGUAGAUAUCAGGAGGAACACCGGUGGCGAAAGCGGCUCACUGGACCAUUUCUGACGCUGAGGUGCGAAAGCUAGGGUAGCGAACGGGAUUAGAUACCCCGGUAGUCCACGCCG